UCCUUUUCGAUUUCGAUUAUUUAAGAUAAUCUACGAAAGCUGAGAUUUUCUUAUUAUUAAAAGAAAAAGGUCAACAAUCAAUUUUUAUUACGUUACAAACAUUUUUGUCAUACCUCUUUUGUAAUCGGUUUUAUUGAUUAAUGCUUACUAUUUUAUUUAUUACAAUCCAAAUAGUUUGUUUAGAAUGUCAAGCAAGGAGGAUUUGGCUAAUCAACAACCGGAAAAUGUAAACUAUAGUGGGCUUCGUAGAAGAAAUUUUGUAAUAUCUGCUCAAGAAAAAUUUGAACAGGCGUCUCAGCUUCUCAGAAGAAAAAUACCGUAUUCCGGCCAUUUUUUAGCCCCUAAAAGACUGUGGCUAAAACGAGUUUCUACUCCAAAUUGCGAUGUCGUUAUUACCUUUCCCACUGAAGCAAAAGAUUCGUUAUUACUAUGGCUAUUAUCCAAAUUGAAACAGUCUCCUGGAUUAACUGUUCAUGUACGACAUCAUACUUCAACACAGUCAAGUGCUUUUUAUGUAACUGCUCCUUUUGUUGUGCUUCUUCGUGCUGCAGAGGAGUACCAUUUACCAAAAGCCUUAAAAGAAGACAAAGGUGGUGGGCUAAAAGAAUUUUUUGUUCAAGAUUUUAGCUCAUAUGAGAAUUCAGACAACGAAGAUCAUUUUUUUACCACAGAGGAAAGACAAUGGCUAGUUUUGCAUAUUCUUGAAAGUAUUCGUGCAAAAUCAACAGAUAUAAAUGUUAUUCCUGAACUUUCUCUCAUAGAGGGUCAGCCUAUAAUUCCAAAAUGCCUAACAGAAGGAAUGAUAUCACAAGUAUUCCCAUUACAUGAUCCACCUGCUUUAGAGAAAUUACAAAAUGUUUGGGUUUGUGAUGUAUUCAACAAGCAACCUUUAGAUGAAAUUACUGAGUAUUUUGGAGUGAAAAUUGGAAUGUAUUUUGCUUGGUUAGGUCAUUACACAACUGCUCUUAGUAUACCUGCUAUAUUUGGUUUUGUAUUUUGGUUGUGCUGUAAUGGAAAACACCAAACGUUAGAAGAUGUGGGUUAUGUGGUAUUUUCCAUAUUCAAUGUAGUAUGGGUAACAACGUAUUUACAAGCUUGGAAACGUUAUUCUGCCGAAUUGGCAUUUAGAUGGGGAACACUAGAUCAACGGGACAAUCUGUUGGCAGAACCCAGACCAUUAUUCAGACUGCCUCGACAUGUUAUUAUUUGUUCACAGGGUCCAUUAGAAAUCAGUCCAGUAACGAAACGACUGGAACCUUAUCAUCCGCCUUGGAAGAGACAUGUGUUUCGCUAUUUUGUAUCAGUACCGAUUAUAACUGUAUGCUUGAUUGCUGUAUUUUGUAUCAUGAUUGUUUCCUUACAAAUACAGGAUUAUUGGGAUAGUUUCUUAAAGAACCAUGGCUUGCCACAUUGUUUGUGUUACUUACCAAAAAUAAUGCUUGCAGUUAUUAUUUCACUGAUGGACGAAGCUUAUUUUAAAAUAGCUAUUUGGUUAAACGACAAAGAAAAUUACCGUCUUGAGACAAAGUAUGAAAACCAUCUGAUUGGAAAAGUUGCUCUGUUCCAGUUUGUCAAUUCAUUUUUAUCGCUGUUUUAUAUUGCUUUUUAUUUGCAAGAUCAAGCAAGGCUUAAAGAGCAAUUAGCUGCCUUAUUAAUAGCUCGCCAGGUGAUAGGCAAUAUAAAAGAGUCGGCUUUACCUUAUUUAUUAGAACACAUGAGGUUGGCAAAAUUAAGUUUUGACAUGUGGGGUGCUCUAAGUCCUCUAAGUAGUAAAUCUCCACCCGGUAGUAAUACAGAAACUCCUGAAACUCAGAACAACGAAACAAAAGAUGAUAAUUCCGAUACGAAUACUAAAAGAACUAUGAGUCAAGCCGAGUUAGAAAGUACAUUGUAUAAAUAUGAUGGAACAUUUGCUGAUCAUUUAGAGAUGACUAUACAAUUAGGAUACGUCAUUCUAUUUUCUUCGGCAUUUCCUCCAGCUGCUUUAUGUGCAAUGCUCAAUAAUCUCAUAGAAAUAAGAAGUGAUGCCUUUAAAUUGGCUUAUGUAUGCCAGAGACCGUUCGGGCAAAGAGUUCCUAAUAUCGGAACUUGGCAGAACUGUAUGGAACAUAUGAGCAUCAUGGCUGUAUUGGUGAACUGUGCUCUCAUUGGCCUUUCUGGUCAAGUACAUCGAAUGUUUUCAGAUAUGACAGCCACGCAAACUAUACUUUUAAUAGUUGCCUUAGAGCAUAUUAUGUUAGUUAUAAGAUUCAUAAUAACCUGUGCCAUACCAGAUAUCCCAGGCUGGUUAGCAACGGAAAUGGCUAAAAUAGAAUGGGCCAGAAGAGAAGCCAGUAGAAUUUCAAAUAGUACCCCUUCACCUGAAGAAUUAACAUCUAAACUUAUAGGAAGGUUUUCAGUAUCUCCUAGUCACACAGUAACACAAACUCCAGAUAAUGUAAAGAAAUCAAUGGAGAAAUUAAAGCAACACGAUUUGGAACAUUCAAAGGAAACAAGCCCUGUACCUACACCGACGACACCAGGUACUUCCAACACUUCUAGUCAUAAGAGCACCGGAGGUAUCACGAUAGAUAGUAUAGCUGAAAUACCCCCGUUCAGGCCCAGAAAGUCAAAAGAAUGGAUACAAACACCAAUGGAAACUGAUCUGCAUCAUCUAACUAUUGGUCCUGGUGGAGUAGAGUGGGUUCGAAGACUUAAGGAAGACUCCGAAGUUCAUCGUAGCACUGAUUGUAUUGCUCCAAAAGACGCAUCAAGUUCAGACUCUGAUUUACUGAAAACCAGUCCAUUGUGGCCUCCAAGACCUAGAACCCCUCCCCAAAUACCAGCAAGAGCAAGACCUUUGGUCCCUCAAGAUCCCUCACUCAGUGAUAGUGUAAAAAGUGUUUCCAGCCAAGAAACUGCAGAUGAAGCAGCAGCCAAAGCCGCUGCAGAAGAGCUGGCGGCAAAGAAAACACGAGUAAAACAGAGUCUAAUGAAGAGGGCAAGAUCUGUCGCUAUAUUUUCUUUGAAAUUGAAAGAACGUCGUGCUAGGGAAGCUCAGGAAAAAGGCUUGAAACCUCCUGUAACUCCUACUGCCCCACUUCCACCACCGCAACAGGGAGGUGAACUGGCUUGUAUACCUAUUGAAAAGCUUAUCCAACUUGAGGACCUGAAACGUAUUCAGAGACCUAGUAGUAAUCAACCUGGAAGUUUGUAGCAAAAUUCAUUUAACUAACAUCGAUAAAUGUGAAAUAAGGUCUCAUUGUCUGAUGUCUUCAUAUUUUGUAUAGGUGAAAACAUGAGUCUGAGAUAUGUUCAAAAACUGUGUUUUUGUUCUAUUUUAAUUCCGGCUAUUGUAUAAUUAAAAACAAAUUAUUGUUUUUUAUAACUAUAAAUAUCGGCAUUUCGUAAAUUGUUCAAACUAAAACUUAUAAUUUAGCUCUCGUAAAUUCCCAUAUCAUUAGGACUGAUAUGACAUUGCCGAAAAUACUUCCAACAAAAAAAAGCAAAUAUUUUAUUAACUAGGAUUUUUUAACUUUUUAUAUAUUUAUUCAAAGAAGAUUGAGUCUUCUCCCUUUUCAACAUAUUUAAUAAAAAAAAUGAAAGAAACUUCAUAAGCACAAGCUGAUUAAGAGAGUUGCGCUUGUUUUCAUCAAUCAUUAUAAAUAUUUGUUCAAUCCCGUAUCUUUUACUUCCAAAAGCUCUUCUAUGUCACAAGUUAUUUUACAAUAUGUACCUAGACAGACAGAACUGGAUAGGUCGAGGUGGGCCAGCUAGGUCUCGGAUCUUACUCCUCUUGAUUUUUUCUGUGGGGCAUUUGUCUUUCUCUAUUAUUUUGCCACCCGAUCUUAAUUUGGUUACUUAUAGCCUCAACGGGCUCUCAAGUACUGUUAACUUAUUCACUAGCAUUUAAAGGAGCAAACUUUUUCAAAAAAUAACAUUGGUCUACAAAAAAAUUGAGAAGAGUUAGAUUUAAAAGAAACUAAUUCUUUUUGAAAGUUGUUGGAAGCAGCAUUCGCUGGGAUUUUAUGGGAAUUGGGAAUAGAGAAGGAGAUAACAUGAGAGUACUGAAGAAUCUAUUGUGGUAAUUAUACCAGUUGCACUUUGUUGGUUUUUACCAUAAUACUUCCGUUUCUAUUUGUAUCAAGUUCUUUUAAUCAGUUUCUACAUAUAGGUUUUUAUGCUGUUUUUAUUAAUUUUGCCCCACUUUCUUCAUUUUGCUUACCAAACAUUUUAUAAUUUCAAUAUUUUGGCAUUUUUCUUGAUUUAUAAUCCUUUUCUUCUUCUUCAUUUACCAUCAUACCAAAAACAUCAACUAUAUAUAAUUCACUCUAUAACCCUUAAAUUUAAUAAUCAAUCUUGUAUACUCAAUGAAUAGCUAAAGCCACAUUUUAAAUUUUUUUCCUCAAAUUUCUUAUAUGAAUUUGUUGUUUACCGAAUCAUGAAGUCUCUGUUAUUUUUUUGUAACUUUUUAAAUAUUAAUGUCAUAUUCCAAACAAUUCGAUAUCAUUUUAUAUGUCUAAUAUUAUGCAGAUUGUUCCAUUCACAAUUUGAGACAUCCGUGUAGUAUCUCUACUCAAAUUUGAAAACUUUUUGUUUAUUAAUUGUAGGAAUCGUUUUAUGAAAAGAAAAAAAAGACAGGCUUCUAUGAGGAAAAAUGAAUAAUUGAAAUGACAGGGAUAGGUAUUCCCCAGAAAAUGUAUCUAGAAAACGCAACACCACAAGGGGUCUUUAGCCGCUGUAUAAAUAUAUAUAAGGUAAAAAACUCUUAAUGACCUAAAACCCGAAAUAAAAUCGUCAAAUAUAAUAUUUAAUAAUAAUGAUAAGCAUUUUUAUGAAUAUUUUUUCCAUCUAAAACUAAUAAUGGAUUGAUUUGAGUAGAGACACUGUAUUAUAAUCUUAUUUCGACAACAAUAUAUUUUGAAAUAUUAAAAAUGUAAAGUACAUAUAAUCAAUUAAACUGCAACUUUCUCCAAAAGUGUGUAAAGAUAAUAUUUUCCAAGUACUAAUGUUCUAGAAAGGAAAGUUUGAAAUACAAUGAAUCCAUAAAAUGUUAAAUGGAAAAUCAGAUCUUCAGUUGGCAACGCCAUAUUAAUCUUUACAAACAACUUAAAUUGAAUAGUUCAAUAACGACUGAAAAAGUCUUCCUGUAUCAUUAAUAAAAGGAAUGUGACCUUUCUAAGUUAAUUAAUAUGUCUUAACAGAAGAAUCAGUUGCCAGUGGACAUCUACUCUUCAGAGUAAGCCAACAUUGUUGUUAUACAAAUUGUCAAUUUCUUUUUGGUUAUCUAUUUAAAGACAACCUCAAACUUACGUUUUACAUUUUUUGGAUAAUUGUUGAAAAAUAACAUACUAAAUCACGAUCUACCACUAUUUAUUUAUUUAUUUGAUGCUUGAAUUAAAUGCAGUAGUCCCUCGCUAGUCCGGCAGAUAUCAGAUAAGUAAAUAUUUGUAAUGAACUCUAGCGGAAAAAAUAUCUUUUAGUUUUAAGAGAAGAUUGGUAUUGUGACUGAUCGUCUUCAUAAACAGCGAUAAUGUUGCUUACGGCUUCUCUUCCGCUACUACUUCAAUAGCAUCUACAAUUUCGUCAUCCAAAGUUUCUCCUGAGCAUCACCGGUGAGUAUUUCUGAAACGACCUCGGUUGUUAACACUUCACCACCGCUCAAUUGAGUUUGUAGGCGUUCUUGCAAUCUUCAUAUCGGGCCAUAACUUACCCCAUGAGCAAACCAAGGUUUUUUCUAGUCUGUCCUAUAACAACAACAAGAAAAAACAACAUAUUUUAAUUUGUUUCUUUGAGAAUCGGGAUAAUGUUUUAAUUGCUGUCUUUUGAUAAAACUCAUUUUUUUAUAAUGCAUCUGGAUCGUUUGAAUGAUAUUUUGGUCCAUAGUUUGUGAAAGUCACAUUUUUGAAAAUUUUCAAGUAAGCUACUACCGCAUCCACAUUACAAAUCAGUUUGUCGCGCAAUUUCAAACCACUUCUUGAACUUAUUCAACCUUCUUAACUGACUAGAAAGUAUUCCUUCCUCAUAAUUUUAUUAUAUAAAAUAAGUUUUUUCUUGUUCUUGUAGAUCAUGUUUUUAAUUUAAAAUUUCCACUCAAACUUAAAGGCGACUUGAAAAUGCAAAAUAUAUACGGAUUACUGGAAGCCCCGGAGUAGCGCACGGCCUGAUUAAAGAAGGACUAAUAUAUAUAUAUAUAUAUAUAUAUAUAUAUAUAUAUAUAUAUAUAUAUAUAUAUAUAUAUUUCAAAAAUAAUCAUAAAAUUUAGUUGACUUAUUAUUUUAGUGAUAGGGUUAUUAAUGUUGCUUAGACUGAUAUUUGAAAAUAGUCGCACAGAUUUUAUUUAGUAUUAUAAGCAGCAGCAAACACUACUUUACAAAAAUGUAUACAAUUACGAAUACAAAUUGUUGCAGUAAUAAAAUUUUUCAGAUAAUCCGAACAAAAUCUAUGUAUUGUACAAAAGCCUUAAUAAUACAAAAAAUGUACAAGUUUUGUUAUAUUGAAAUUGGAUUUGAAUAUCAUUUUCUAGCAAUAUAAAAGUGUAAUCAAAGAAAAUAUCGAACUGGUGUUUGUACGGUUCUAUUUGGAUAAAAAAAAGAACUCUCUUGAAGUAAUAACAAGUAGAAAUCACCAGGGAUGAACAUACCCUUUCAAAACAUUAACUAGUUGAUAACAAGCAUUCCAACCCUACAAUUAUUACAUUAAAUCUCAUAAAUUAACAUUUCACAGACUUAUUUAACACCAGUAUACAGUGACACUUUUGUAUAGUGAUAAAAUUUGUUUUAUAAGGCAGUUUUAAGGAAUAUGAAACAUUGUUAGUUAAAAAUAAAUGUAUGUUAUCAUACUUUCAAUAGAUAUUUAUAUGUUAAUCAGAUUCCUCAUCUAUACUAACACUGAUAUCACGAAAAGUAUAAGAAGUUUAUUGUUUCUUCGCCGAGGUCGCAAUCUUAGUUGUUAUCUGGCAAUAUAUAUUUUUCUAUGACUUAGUCAUCAGCCCUACCCGCAUGUUUUUAGAUGUCACCCUCCUUUUGCUGGAAGAGCACAUCCAGCUUUCAGUUUGUACGAUUUUUAAAAACACAGCGGCUUCUAUUCCAUUUUUAAUUUCCUAACCAUCUGUAAAGAAUGAAAUUUCUUUAUUUUUUAUAAUGGGUUUUCAUCCCAUUAAUUCAUCUCUUGUAGGAAUUUAUAUUUUUCCCUUGAAGCUAGUUUUUGUAAUUAUACAGUUUGUGUUGUAAUCUAAUAUUCCCUUUAUUCUUUUUGCUUCUGUUUUAUCAAUAUUAUUCAGAAUUCUUUUACUCUAAAUAUUGUCCUCUCUAAACUUUUUUCACAAACAUCUUAUAAGGUAUAGAAAGUGUUGAUUCCUUUUUUUAUUAUCCCUUUCACAUGAAAACACAUCCCUUUUCCAUGGAAACUAGUAUUUAGCUUCCUUUGACAGGAAAAGUUUUUGUCCAUUCAAUUUUUAGGGCAGGGAUUUUAAGUAUUUCGUAUUUUCUUGAGAAUAUAAUUAGUUCUGUUUUUUAGGAUCAAAUUCCAAAAUAAUAUGAUUAGGUAUAUAUUUGCUGUUUAUCUUUUUUUGUAUGUUUAGAAUUCAGAGUUGAGAAUUAAAAUAAGAAUACCUUGAAAGCAACUGACACGAUUUUUUUAUUGUUUGGGAAAUUUUACUAAAUAUUAGUUUUAAAUAUAUUUUGUAAAGUAGUGACAUUUUUACGAAAUUAGAAUUUUAGUACUAAAUUAUGAAUUCGCAUACAUAGUGGUAGGUUAGAAUUAGUGAUGCGCUACCAUUAAAAAAAUAGAUCAGGUCUAUUUACGCCAUGAAUAGUUAUAGGAUAUUUUAAGUAAAUUAAUUUAAUAGCAAUAACUGUUUUUGUUCAAAUUGAACUGUUGUUAUUGAAAAGAAUUUAGAUUUAAGUGAAAACACAAAUUUUGAUAGUUGUAUAAGGUUGUUUUAAAUUAUUUUUUAUAAUAUUUGUAGUAGCAGUGUAUUGUCGAUGUCUUACUAGAUUAUAAGACUGCAUUACCACAAUAUACAAAAGACCAUUUCUCGUAUGAAUCGAAUCAGUUACCUCUGAUGACAAAUGUAAUAUAACUCAAAAUAUUAUAUGGGUCAAGCUUUAAAAAUACUAGGAAUUCAUGAUUGUUAAUACCCAUUGAUACAGUUUUGUCAUAUACCAUCUACAGUAAUCCAAAAUUGAACACGCGAUCGACUUUUUAGUUUCUCCUUGUUAUACGAUGUGCAGCUCCUAUAUUUUGUGGUUUUUACGUUACACGCAACCACCUAGUUUUAAAAAAUAUCCGAAUUUCAUGCUAAAGUGUUGAUGAAAUACCGAAAUUGUUUUUUCAUUUUUCUGAACAGUGAUUGCAACCCUCCAGACUUAUUUUCAUGCUUCCUAGCUACUUAAUUGACUUCAGUAAACAUUAUAAAUCAUUAAUCAUAACACAAAAAGCAAAAAGGGUAGCGAUGCUCCCUGGUGGAACGAUCAUCUGUCAAAGUUAAGAACCGAAACACGCAAUCUCUUUAACACAGCAAAGUGUUCCGGGGACUGGCAGAGUUACACCAGAAAACUCACUACCUACAACAAAGAAAUAAGAAAAGCAACGCAACAAAGCUUCAGAAAAUUUUGCGAGGAAAUUGACUCUACACCUGUGACUUCAAGACUUCACAAAGUCUUGGCGAAGGGCAAGGUCAAUACAACCGUGGCACUGAGGCUACCGGAUGGCAGCUUCACGGAGAGUGAGGAGGACAGAGCACAGCUCUUGCUGAAGCCUCAGUACACAACAGGCAGAAUAUAGCAAAACUACGAGAGAAACUGCAGCAACUGCAAAACUGGUUAGGUUAGAUUAGGUUCUCCCCUCCUCGAUAGGGGACAGGAGGAUAUCUUGCCACACUUGAUCCGCCUCAGUAGAAGCAGCCAAGAGCUGGGUUACAUACCAGAGCCAUGGAGAAGAACAAAGUAAACUUCAUACCAAAAGUAGGGAACUACACAUCCCAAAUUCUUAAUAAUGUAUGUUCAACUUCAUUCGUCCUCGGGUUGUUCUGUUCCUUCAACGAAAGUUCUGUAGUUUCUAUUAGGGAAUCUGCCCCAGCUUCCGCCUACGAAUCUUUCGGUUGUAUAUUUUUUAUGGAGAAAAUUGUUUUUCUAUCCUGCAUGAAAUAAAUAUUUUCUCGAGGAAUACUGAACGGAAUGAUGGCGAAUGACACAAUCGGUGACGCAUUAAAUGAUAUUUUUCAUAAACGAUUCGCUUGGAGUCUGAUAAUAAGAAUCAACCUUGUAUAUUCAAUAAUAAUAUUAACACAGCUUGUUUUUUAUUGAUUUCAAAUAUAUUUCGCUAAGUUGAGAAUAUUUAAAAUGUUAACAAUGAGAAAUGGUCUUACAUUAAAUUCAGCAUAGCAUGUUGUGAAUGAAAAUGACAUUAGUGGAAAGUUUAUUUUUUAUAACAUUGUUUGUAGCAUAAAGGUUGCUUAAAAAUAAUUGUAGUUUCACAACGAGACUUAGUUUAAGAUGCUUCAUAGCCACCAUAAUAUCCUGUAUUUAGUCAAUCAGUAGUUUUAUUUUUGCAAAAUAGUUGUCUCUCAAAUGAUACUCAUGAAUAAAUAUUUUUUAUAUAUAUACGUUAAACUCAAAAUAUGGUAACUUUUAUAGAAUGCAUAACAUAUUGAGAUAUUCCAUGUUGUUGGCAUUGAACAAGACCUUAAUCCUUGCACCUUUACCUUCAGUAUUAUAUUCAAUUUGUUUUAGUGUAUGCAUCAAUAAAAGAAUCUUGGUAGUGCAUAUGAAUAUGUAUACGAUGUCACCAUAUUGUCUAUUAAGUUCUAUUGUUUACACUUUAGUAAUAAAAAUACAAUAAAAAAACUAUAUGUCAGCAAAUUCCUUACAAAUUAUAGUCUAUGGACAAUAUUAGAAGACCAUGAAGUUUUUGUAAGAAAAACCUUAAAAUCAAAGGAAAAUUCAUUGUACUAGCAUAUUUAAACUUCAUAUAUAUACUUUGUGAAUGCACCAAAAAACCUUCCAUUAGGAACUUUCCAUAGACUAUUUUUAUGGUAUUAUGUCAAAUCCUCAAGUAGUCCAAUACUUCCUUUUAGUAGUAGGAAAAACAAUCAAUUUCCAGUGUAUCUCUUUCACAUCAAUUAUCAGUUACACCGUCCAUUGUUAACAAUUUUAAUUCUGCCAUCUUCUCUUUCUCUCUCGUUUUUUUCAUCGCCCUUGGUAAUUCUGUACUUUUGUCCUCUUAGAAUCAGGUGAAGACUAUUGUAGAAGCUACAACAGUACGAUCUACGCAAAAAUAUUGUUUUGGCGUUUUCUUUACAAGACUUUCAAAAUUUAUUUCUGGACGUAGGCCUAACCUCUUUUUUUCUAUUCGUGUUUAUUUAUAGCUAUUGAUAUCAGUUCCUAACCUAAAAACUGCAAGUUAUGUUUGAGGGGUUUGUUAAAAAACUGAUGAUAAAAUACUUCAUUAUUUCGGCCAAUGCCAAAUAAGUAGCCGAAGGUGUAAUUUCUUCUUUCAGUGAUAAGGACAUUUCUGUUCGUUCAUUUGACACAGUUUUUGUUCUGUUAUCUUCUCUUUCUUCCCUUUUUACUAACAUUUUCUGUUGUUAAUUUUUCAUUAUUCUUCGUGAAUAAGCUUAUUAGAACCACUUGCAUUGCAGCAGUUGAUUUUUUAACGAAUGCACUGCAUAUUUUAUAUGCACAUGAGAUCAAAAACUAUGUCAUCAUUCCCAGAUAACUUUUUUUAAAGGUUUUGAUCAUUUUAUUGUUCACAAGUAUCUGAAACUGUUUGCUCGUUUCCAGAACAACAGAACAUCUACCUAAAUUUUUUAUAGGGCGUCUUUUCCUUCAUUACCUACUCCUGGAUAUAGAUCUCCAAUUUUUUUCAUUCUCCUCUGUCUCUAGCUAUUUGAUACUAGAUCUUAAUCUUAUUCACCUUUUGUGCCAUACAAAAAAAUUGGAAUAUUACAAUUAAUGUUUAAGGAAUGUGUUGAAAUAAAAAAUUGGUGAAAAAAGCCUGCCUUGUUUCGGUUAGCCAAUUGUCAAAUGAAUUUCUGGUUGAUCGAAUAGAAUAAUAAUUAAUGUUGCGCAUUAAGUGUUGAAGCUUGUUGUAUUUAACAAAAUAAAGUAAUUAAAAAUCCAA